rnacentral:rRNA from 1 species
GUCCCUAUCUGCCGUGGACGUUUGAGAUUUGAGAGGGGCUGCUCCUAGUACGAGAGGACCGGAGUGGACGAACCUCUGGUGUUCCGGUUGUCACGCCAGUGGCAUUGCCGGGUAGCUAUGUUCGGAAAAGAUAACCGCUGAAAGCAUCUAAGCGGGAAACUUGCCUCAAGAUGAGAUCUCACUGGGAACUUGAUUCCCCUGAAGGGCCGUCGAAGACUACGACGUUGAUAGGCUGGGUGUGUAAGCGUUGUGAGGCGUUGAGCUAACCAGUACUAAUUGCCCGUGAGGCUUGACCAUAUAACACCCAAACA